GGAGGACGAUUUUAGUCAAAAGAACAUUAUUCUUAUAACACCGAAUCCACAAAACUUUGACCCCUAGUUUUUAAUUUUAUUUUUUGUUCUUCCGAGCUUUUUCUCGGAGCUCGCCGGAGUUCAAGGGUGGUGGUGGAAUCGUCUUCGGAGUCUCGAGUCCCGGAGUCACUGCUCAAGAAAAGUCCAUGGUGGACAUCUCCUCUUUGCAUUUCCGAGUUGAGCCAUUAAGGCUCCAUUUUUUCCCCUCUUGAGUCAGCCAGGCCAUCGGGGGUAGACGUACAGGUUGGAGACAUAUGGAAAGUCUCAGAAAAAGCUCCAAAUGGGUUGUAUACAGCAGUAUACACUGGUAUACAACUACUGUAUACACUGAUAUACAGUGAUAUGCAAAAAUGGUAAAUGACUGAUACAGGGACGAAAAUGGGCCCAAAGGCUCAAUGGAUAUCAGCAGAUUUAAUCUAAAUGGGCCAAGCCCAAUUAUGGCAAUUUUUUUAGUUAGGACAGGAGGAGAAAAGUUUGGUUGGACAAGAGUCCAAGUUUAUA